CCCUCUCCGAAUCAGACGCUUUCAGGCUUUGCUCUCUCUCUGUGUCAGUUGAGCAGGCGAGCGUCUCUUUCCGGCUCACUUCGCGUGUAUGUGCUCUGUGGCCAAAACUUUCUAUGGCGAGGAAAGAAGGAUGAAAAAAGAA
ensembl:ncRNA C04D8.4 ncRNA